UACAGAGGGUGCAAGCGUUAAUCGGAAUUACUGGGCGUAAAGCGUGCGCAGGCGGUGAUGUAAGACAGAUGUGAAAUCCCCGGGCUCAACCUGGGACCUGCAUUUGUGACUGCAUCGCUAGAGUACGGUAGAGGGGGGAUGGAAUUCCGCGUGUAGCAGUGAAAUGCGUAGAUAUGCGGAGGAACACCGAUGGCGAAGGCAAUCCCCUGGACCUGUACUGACGCUCAUGCACGAAAGCGUGGGGAGCAAACAGGG
rnacentral:rRNA from 1 species